GAGGUAGAUGUUGAAAGUUGAAACAGAAAAGGCCUGGUCAGAGUCAUUGAUAGUGUUGAUCUGAUGCCUC
rnacentral:sRNA from 1 species